AGAUUGAACGCUGGCGGCAGGCCUAACACAUGCAAGUCGAGCGGCAGCACGGGUACUUGUACCUGGUGGCGAGCGGCGGACGGGUGAGUAAUGCCUAGGAAUCUGCCUGGUAGUGGGGGAUAACGCUCGGAAACGGACGCUAAUACCGCAUACGUCCUACGGGAGAAAGCAGGGGACCUUCGGGCCUUGCGCUAUCAGAUGAGCCUAGGUCGGAUUAGCUAGUUGGUGGGGUAAUGGCUCACCAAGGCGACGAUCCGUAACUGGUCUGAGAGGAUGAUCAGUCACACUGGAACUGAGACACGGUCCAGACUCCUACGGGAGGCAGCAGUGGGAACAUUGGACAAUGGGCGAAAGCCUGAUCCAGCCAUGCCGCGUGUGUGAAGAAGGUCUUCGGAUUGUAAAGCACUUUAAGUUGGAGGAAGGCAGUUACCUAAUACGUAUCUGUUUUGACGUUACCGACAAGAAUAAGCACCGCUAACUCUGUGCCAGCACG
rnacentral:rRNA from 1 species